rnacentral:rRNA from 1 species
AACGAACGCUGGCGGCAUGCCUAACACAUGCAAGUCGAACGAGACCUUCGGGUCUAGUGGCGCACGGGUGCGUAACGCGUGGGAACCUGCCCUUAGGUUCGGAAUAACUCCCCGAAAGGGGUGCUAAUACCGGAUAAUGUCUUCGGACCAAAGAUUUAUCGCCUUUGGAUGGGCCCGCGUUGGAUUAGCUAGUUGGUAGGGUAAAAGCCUACCAAGGCGACGAUCCAUAGCUGGUCUGAGAGGAUGAUCAGCCACACUGGGACUGAGACACGGCCCAGACUCCAACGGGAGGAAGCAGUGGGGAAUAUGGGACAAUGGGCGAAAGCCUGAUCCGGCAAUGCCGCGUGAGUGAUAAAGGCCUUAGGGUUGUAAAGCUCUUUUCCCCGGGAUGAUAUGACAGUACCGGGAGAAUAAGCUCCGGCUAACUCCGUG